GCAGUGCUGGUUCAGUGGUAGAAUUCUCGCCUUUCACGUGGGAGACCCAGGUUGAUUCCCGGCCACUGCA
rnacentral:tRNA from 1 species